ensembl:lncRNA
GAUCCUGUUCCACAUUAAAUCUAUCAGAAUUUGCAAUUCAAUCUUUUCUCUUAAUUUUCACUUUUAAAAAUUCUGACAAGUCCCGGGUGUGUAGCCAAGGACUGCACAGGAAGCUUAGGGAGACAGAGGAAGUGUGCCUCGUGGCCACAGGCGACUGAAAGGAUCCUGCCGGCCCCACUGGGCACAGAUGUAAUUACCAAUAUGAAGAUGAAUCUUUCAAGAGACUCAUUUUCUGGACCCAGGAGUGACCAAGACUAUUGUGGUUUCAGCACUGAAAGUACCUGCAUUCUCGGAAGUCCCUCAGUCCUCCGAAACCAGGACAGUUAGUCGCCCCCUCCUGUUUAACACCAGAAUAGAUGCUGAUUAUGCCUAUUUUAAAGAUAAGGAAACAGAGGCUCAGGGAGUUGGAAUAAUUGGCUAAGUGCACACACCUAAUGAGUGAUUAUGUUUUCAAUGUCCUCACCUUCUGUGGGAUGGAAGAGAGAAACAGCUGGGCGUAGCUGAGUGUUCCCUGUCCUCUGAAGUGAAUUCUCCAUCCAGAGGCCAGUACUCUCCUCGGCAAAGCAAUCAGAUGGGUGCCAUAUGCUCCUCUAAUCUUUCUCUAACUUUUCUUUGGUGCCCAGGUGGUGCUGCCCUCAGCCAGCUCCUUGCCUAGUAGGUGCUGUUCCACCCCCAGCUCUUCUCUCCUUCUUUUCCACACUAACCUGCCCUGCGUCUCCAUCUGAUCGAAGACUCUGCAAAAUGAGCCAGAUUCCUUGGAUGAAUGGUUCUUGACGAGGGCUCCACAUCUCAUGAUGAAUCUGCUCCGCUGUUAGGCCCAGAAGGGCACCAGCUGUGUGUGCGUGGUGCGCCUGGGUUAGUGUUUCCUGCAUCCUGGGCCCUCAGUGCUUUCUGCAUCCUGGCUGCUCAGCUCCACACCACAGACUCUGAGAUUGCUAAGUCCUGGAUAUGUGAGCAAGUGUACAAAAAACUAAGUGCCAUUAACAUCUCCAGAUACCGUACGCAUUCUAGUUGGGACCUUCCUCACUUUAAGACACAGAGUGAAUAACAAGGCAGUUUCAAGGUCUAUGACAAGUGGUCCCCAACCUUUUUGGCACCAGGGACCAGUUUCAUGGAAGGCAAUUUUUCCAUAGGCCGAGGGUCAGGGAAACAGUGUCAGAC